GUGGGGAAUAUUAGGCAAUGGGCGAAAGCCUGACCUAGCAACGCCGCGUGAAGGAAGAAGGCCUUCGGGUUGUAAACUUCUUUUAUGAGGGACGAAGGACGUGACGGUACCUCAUGAAUAAGCCACGGCUAACUACGUGCCAGCAGCCGCGGUAAUACGUAGGUGGCGAGCGUUGUCCGGAUUUACUGGGUGUAAAGGGCGCGUAGGCGGACUGGCAAGUCAGAUGUGAAAUACAGGGGCUCAACCCCUGAACUGCAUUUGAAACUGUUGGUCUUGAGUAUCGGAGAGGCAAGCGGAAUUCCUAGUGUAGCGGUGAAAUGCGUAGAUAUUAGGAGGAACACCAGUGGCGAAGGCGGCUUGCUGGACGACAACUGACGCUGAGGCGCGAAAGCGUGGGGAGCAAACAGGAUUAGAAACCCUAGUAGUCC
rnacentral:rRNA from 1 species